GGGGGUGAUCGGUUUCGACAGGGAUAUAGAGGAUUGUUGAUGCAUACCGGGGAGAUUACCUACCCGUAAAACACGGUGAUACUUAAAUGUAAAUGCAAACUAUGAUUAUGCAUUAGCAGCAUAAGCUGCUACGUUUAUGUCCGAUUUGCUGUCGGUUGGAUAAUAAGCGUCGUAAUUGACAGCUGCUCAGUUGAGAGUCGUCAUGGUUCAACUGCUAAGAUUAGUGACUGGCUUCUUUGCAACUGGUUUGAUUGUUUCCCUGCAUAGCAAGUGAGAUCUAAAAACAACUAAGUAUGUAGAGUCAGCUUUUGGCUUAUCUCUGGACGCGGGUUCGAUUCCCGCCACCUCCACCA
rnacentral:tmRNA from 1 species